UGAGGAGUAUUGGUCAAUGGGCGAGAGCCUGAACCAGCCAAGUAGCGUGCAGGAUGACGGCCCUAUGAGUUGUAAACUGCUUUUGUAUGGGGAUAAAGUCAGUCACGUGUGAUUGUUUGCAGGUACCAUACGAAUAAGGACCGGCUAAUUCCGUGCCAGCAGCCGCGGUAAUACGGAAGGUCCGGGCGUUAUCCGGAUUUAUUGGGUUUAAAGGGAGCGUAGGCUGGAGAUUAAGUGUGUUGUGAAAUGUAGACGCUCAACGUCUGACUUGCAGCGCAUACUGGUUUCCUUGAGUACGCACAACGUUGGCGGAAUUCGUCGUGUAGCGGUGAAAUGCUUAGAUAUGACGAAGAACUCCGAUUGCGAAGGCAGCUGACGGGAGCGCAACUGACGCUGAAGCUCGAAGGUGCGGGUAUCGAACAGGAUUAGAUACCCUGGUAGUCCGCACAGUAAACGAUGGAUGCCCGCUGUUGGUACCUGGUAUCAGCGGCUAAGCGAAAGCAUUAAGCAUCCCACCUGGGGAGUACGCCGGNNCGGU
rnacentral:rRNA from 1 species